AGAGGAUUACAGUGGCAGUAUCAUAGACAAUGAGGUUUAUACAAGGCACGAUUAUUGCUAAUUGAAAACUUUUCCCAAUACCCCUCCAUGACAAUUUGCAGUACAGUUAGCAUUGGCAAUUUUUUUUUUUUUUUGAGAUAA